AACGAACGCUGGCGGCGCGCCUAAUACAUGCAAGUCGAGCGAGAAGGUGUAGCAAUACACUUGUAAAGCGGCGAACGGGUGAGGAAUACAUGGGUAAUCUACCAUCGAGUGGGGAAUAACCAGCCGAAAGGUUGGCUAAUACCGCGUACGCUUCCGAGUCUUCGGGCUUGGAAGGAAAGCCGCACUGUGAGUGCGGCGCUCUUUGAUGAGCUCAUGUCCUAUCAGCUUGUUGGUAGGGUAACGGCCUACCAAGGCUUUGACGGGUAGCUGGUCUGAGAGGACGAUCAGCCACACUGGCACUGCGACACGGGCCAGACUCCUACGGGAGGCAGCAGUAAGGAAUAUUGCGCAAUGGGCGAAAGCCUGACGCAGCGACGCCGCGUGGGGGAUGAAGGUCUUCGGAUUGUAAACCCCUCUCGGGAGGGAAGAUGGAGCGAGCAAUCGUUCGGACGGUACCUCCAGAAGCAGCCACGGCCAACUUCGUGCCAG
rnacentral:rRNA from 1 species